rnacentral:rRNA from 1 species
GAGGAACGCUGGCGGCGUGCUUAACACAUGCAAGUCGAACGGGAAAUAUUUCAUUGAGACUUCGGUGGAUUUGAUUUAUUUCUAGUGGCGGACGGGUGAGUAACGCGUGGGUAACCUGCCUUAUACAGGGGGAUAACAGUCAGAAAUGGCUGCUAAUACCGCAUAAGCGCACAGAGCUGCAUGGCUCAGUGUGAAAAACUCCGGUGGUAUAAGAUGGACCCGCGUUGGAUUAGCUAGUUGGUGGGGUAACGGCCCACCAAGGCGACGAUCCAUAGCCGGCCUGAGAGGGUGAACGGCCACAUUGGGACUGAGACACGGCCCAGACUCCUACGGGAGGCAGCAGUGGGGAAUAUUGCACAAUGGGGGAAACCCUGAUGCAGCGACGCCGCGUGAAGGAAGAAGUAUCUCGGUAUGUAAACUUCUAUCAGCAGGGAAGAUAGUGACGGUACCUGACUAAGAAGCCCCGGCUAACUACGUG